UCGCAAUAGUGCUGGCAGCAACCUCUUCGUCAUCAGGGACGAGACGGGCGGAAAUGUUUGAGAUUGAAAGGAAAAAAAGAGCUCAUAUCAUACACAAACAGCCAGCUACCUUAGCUACCGUAGCCGACUACUCAAGUCUAACAACAGGUAGCGAGAGCGUGCGAGUAAAAAAUACAGAAUCCAGUAAUUGGUGCCUAAAAAUGGUGGACACAUCUGCGCAUUUCUGCCGUAUAUUUGCAUUAGUGCAACAAAAACGAGAGAGAGAAUAAAUCCAGCACAGAGGUUAUAAGGAGCAUAACAUACACAAUGCCAUACUGUUGCGUAAUAAAAUGUUCCAAUUCAUGGAAGAUCAAUGCCUUGUCUCACCAAAUUGAUAAAAAUGUGAAUCAGCCGUUGGCACUUCUUCCUUAGUUAGUAUUCGCCGAGAAAACCGUAGAGAUAGA